AGAGUUUGAUCCUGGCUCAGGAUGAACGCUGGCGGCGUGCCUAACACAUGCAAGUUGAGCGAUUUACUUCGGUAAAGAGCGGCGGACGGGUGAGUAACGCGUGGGUAACCUACCCUGUACACACGGAUAACAUACCGAAAGGUAUGCUAAUACGGGAUAAUAUAUUUGAGAGGCAUCUCUUGAAUAUCAAAGGUGAGCCAGUACAGGAUGGACCCGCGUCUGAUUAGCUAGUUGGUAAGGUAACGGCUUACCAAGGCAACGAUCAGUAGCCGACCUGAGAGGGUGAUCGGCCACAUUGGAACUGAGACACGGUCCAAACUCCUACGGGAGGCAGCAGUGGGGAAUAUUGCACAAUGGGCGAAAGCCUGAUGCAGCAACGCCGCGUGAGUGAUGAAGGCCUUCGGGUCGUAAAACUCUGUCCUCAAGGAAGAUAAUGACGGUACUUGAGGAGGAAGCCCCGGCUAACUACGUGCCAGCAGCCGCGGUAAUACGUAGGGGGCGAGCGUUAUCCGGAUUUACUGGGCGUAAAGGGUGCGUAGGCGGUCUUUCAAGUCAGGAGUGAAAGGCUACGGCUCAACCGUAGUAAGCUCUUGAAACUGGGAGACUUGAGUGCAGGAGAGGAGAGUGGAAUUCCUAGUGUAGCGGUGAAAUGCGUAGAUAUUAGGAGGAACACCAGUUGCGAAGGCGGCUCUCUGGACUGUAACUGACGCUGAGGCACGAAAGCGUGGGGAGCAAACAGGAUUAGAUACCCUGGUAGUCCACGCUGUAAACGAUGAGUACUAGGUGUCGGGGGU
rnacentral:rRNA from 1 species